rnacentral:rRNA from 1 species
CACAGGUUGUGAACUCGAAGAGUAGGGCGGGACACGUGGUAUCCUGUCUGAAUAUGGGGGGACCAUCCUCCAAGGCUAAAUACUCCUGACUGACCGAUAGUGAACCAGUACCGUGAGGGAAAGGCGAAAAGAACCCCGGCGAGGGGAGUGAAACAGAACCUGAAACCGUGUACGUACAAGCAGUGGGAGCACCUUCGUGGUGUGACUGCGUACCUUUUGUAUAAUGGGUCAGCGACUUAUAUUCUGUAGCAAGGUUAACCGUAUAGGGGAGCCGAAGGGAAACCGAGUCUUAACUGGGCGUUAAGUUGCAGGGUAUAGACCCGAAACCCGGUGAUCUAGCCAUGGGCAGGUUGAAGGUUGGGUAACACUAACUGGAGGACCGAACCGACUAAUGUUGAAAAAUUAGCGGAUGACUUGUGGCUGGGGGUGAAAGGCCAAUCAAACCGGGAGAUAGCUGGUUCUCCCCGAAAGCUAUUUAGGUAGCGCCUCGUGAACUCAUCUUCGGGGGUAGAGCACUGUUUCGGCUAGGGGGCCAUCCCGGCUUACCAACCCGAUGCAAACUACGAAUACCGAAGAAUGUUAUCACGGGAGACACACGGCGGGUGCUAACGUCCGUCGUGAAGAGGGAAACAACCCAGACCGCCAGCUAAGGUCCCAAAGUCAUGGUUAAGUGGGAAACGAUGUGGGAAGGCACAGACAGCCAGGAUGUUGGCUUAGAAGCAGCCAUCAUUUAAAGAAAGCGUAAUAGCUCACUGGUCGAGUCGGCCUGCGCGGAAGAUGUAACGGGGCUAAACCAUGCACCGAAGCUGCGGCAGCGACGCUUAUGCGUUGUUGGGUAGGGGAGCGUUCUGUAAGCCGUUGAAGGUGUGCUGUGAGGCAUGCUGGAGGUAUCAGAAGUGCGAAUGCUGACAUAAGUAACGAUAAAGCGGGUGAAAAGCCCGCUCGCCGGAAGACCAAGGGUUCCUGUCCAACGUUAAUCGGGGCAGGGUGAGUCGACCCCUAAGGCGAGGCCGAAAGGCGUAGUCGAUGGGAAACAGGUUAAUAUUCCUGUACUUGGUGUUACUGCGAAGGGGGGACGGAGAAGGCUAUGUUAGCCGGGCGACGGUUGUCCCGGUUUAAGCAUGUAGGCGGAGUAAAUCCGGUCGUUUUUUAACGCUGAGGUGUGAUGACGAGGCACUACGGUGCUGAAGUAACAAAUGCCCUGCUUCCAGGAAAAGCCUCUAAGCAUCAGGUAACAUCAAAUCGUACCCCAAACCGACACAGGUGGUCAGGUAGAGAAUACCAAGGCGCUUGAGAGAACUCGGGUGAAGGAACUAGGCAAAAUGGUGCCGUAACUUCGGGAGAAGGCACGCUGAUAUGUAGGUGAAGCCCCUGCGGGUGGAGCUGAAAUCAGUCGAAGAUACCAGCUGGCUGCAACUGUUUAUUAAAAACACAGCACUGUGCAAACACGAAAGUGGACGUAUACGGUGUGACGCCUGCCCGGUGCCGGAAGGUUAAUUGAUGGGGUUAGCGGCAACGCGAAGCUCUUGAUCGAAGCCCCGGUAAACGGCGGCCGUAACUAUAACGGUCCUAAGGUAGCGAAAUUCCUUGUCGGGUAAGUUCCGACCUGCACGAAUGGCGUAAUGAUGGCCAGGCUGUCUCCACCCGAGACUCAGUGAAAUUGAACUCGCUGUGAAGAUGCAGUGUACCCGCGGCAAGACGGAAAGACCCCGUGAACCUUUACUAUAGCUUGACACUGAACACUGGUCCUUGAUGUGUAGGAUAGGUGGGAGGCUUUGAAGUGUGGACGCCAGUCUGCAUGGAGCCGUCCUUGAAAUACCACCCUUUAAUGGCUGGUGUUCUAACGUAGACCCGUGAUCCGGGUUGCGGACAGUGUCUGGUGGGUAGUUUGACUGGGGCGGUCUCCUCCCAAAGAGUAACGGAGGAGCACGAAGGUUAGCUAAUCCUGGUCGGACAUCAGGAGGUUAGUGCAAUGGCAUAAGCUAGCUUGACUGCGAGAGUGACGGCUCGAGCAGGUGCGAAAGCAGGUCAUAGUGAUCCGGUGGUUCUGAAUGGAAGGGCCAUCGCUCAACGGAUAAAAGGUACUCCGGGGAUAACAGGCUGAUACCGCCCAAGAGUUCAUAUCGACGGCGGUGUUUGGCACCUCGAUGUCGGCUCAUCACAUCCUGGGGCUGAAGUAGGUCCCAAGGGUAUGGCUGUUCGCCAUUUAAAGUGGUACGCGAGCUGGGUUUAGAACGUCGUGAGACAGUUCGGUCCCUAUCUGCCGUGGGCGCUGGAGAAUUGAGGGGGGCUGCUCCUAGUACGAGAGGACCGGAGUGGACGCAUCACUGGUGUUCGGGUUGUCAUGCCAAUGGCACUGCCCGGUAGCUAAAUGCGGAAAAGAUAAGUGCUGAAAGCAUCUAAGCACGAAACUUGCCCCGAGAUGAGUUCUCCCUGAGACUUUAAGUCUCCUGAAGGAACGUUGAAGACGACGACGUUGAUAGGUCGGGUGUGUAAGCGCAGCGAUGCGUUGAGCUAACCGAUACUAAUGAACCGUGAGGCUUAACCUUACAACGCCGAAGGUGUUU